rnacentral:rRNA from 1 species
UAAGAAGAAAAAAAAAGAUGCGAGUCAUGGGGGAAAGCCAAGUCUUGCUCCCUUUCUUUUUUCUUUUCCACAUACACCUUUCUAUUAGAUCCUAUUGUCUGAAGCUGUUAGAGAAUGACUAAUUCUUAAACAUAACUUUCAUCAACGGAUCUCUUGGCUCUCGCAUCGAUGAAGAACGCAGCGAAAUGCGAUACGUAAUGUGAAUUGCAGAAUUCAGUGAAUCAUCGAAUCUUUGAACGCAUAUUGCGGUCUUUGGUAUUCCGAAGAGCAUGCUUGUUUGAGUAUCAGUAAACACCUCAACCAGAUUUUUUUCUGGAUGGACUUGAGCAAACCCAACAUUGGUCUCUAUCGAGAGGUCGGCGGCGGGUUGCUUGAAAU